UGUUGCACUACAACUUGGAAGCAAUGGCAGGCCCUUGAGCUGCCAGGUGGCAAGAAGUUAAGAUUGAGUUCAAUCCAUAUGGUUUUGGAUUUGUCACUAUCUUUGUCCUGUGAUUAUGGUUUUGACAAAUUCAUAUGGGUAGGAACUCAUACACCAUUAAAUCUAAGUGUCAUAAGGUUUCUCUCCGAUUCAUGAAAAUGAUGGUGAGGAAACGCUUUCACUAAGUAGAUUUUAGCUAGAUAGCAAUUGUGAUGUUUGCAUUCUCAAAGUCGUUAGUGGAGCACGUGUGGUUAACCGGCACACUAAUUUGGACUUGUGAGAAGUGGCAAAAAGGUCUAAACAUUAUGAUUACGGCAUCCCUCUUCAUAAUUGUUUAGAUACACAAGUGUGCUAUCUAAGGGAAGGUGUAUGAUUUUGAUAAAGACUUAUCAAAACAAUCUAGUAUCAGAAAUCUGAACUUUGGUAAGAAAGUCAGCUGAUUUCUGAGUACAUGUCAAAGCUAGUGGGAGCAUAAGUGUUAUGCUAAUAAUCAUCAUGUUAGUGGGAGCAUGAUAAUUAUGAUAAGUAUUGCAAGUUAGCAAUGUUAAUUAUAGAAAACAAAAGGUUUCAAUUGGGAAAAGUUGUUUUGCUAUAAUUAAGGGAGAGGAAAUUAUACUUCAUCUCAAAUCUAUAAGCUUAGAUCGUGAGGUUUUAAUCAUUUAGUCAAGGAUAUAUAUGAAUUUCAUGUUGGAAUGGCUCAACAUAAGGAAAUUCUGUAUAUGGGUCCAUUAUUUGCGUUCUAAAAUUCGAUUAUGAUUACGGCAUCCCUUUUCAUAAUCUGAAUUAUGAGAACUUGGCAAAUUGAAAUGGAAAUAUUAUAGCAAAAGACUGGUUUAGUCUUUAUGUAAGACAUCAUGAAUCGUGUCCCAUAUGCUUCGGAUAUAGGAUCGAUUACAUGUGCUAUAUUCAUCCGUUCUAAAAUUUUCCAAAUGCCUGGGGCAUUAAGAAGGGAAAAGGUUUAGAACUGGAUAUGACUAAAAGGAUUAAACAAUUGUCGAGGACAAUCUAAGGUUUACCAAAGAUUGGUUGCUCAAGGACAGUUGGAAGUAUAGUGAUAAUUCUGGAAGGACCAUAUUGACAUAAUCUGUAAGGAGGCAACUCUUGUUCAGAAGUGAUAGUCAAAAUGGAAUCUGGAAAUGUUUCAAAGUUAGAAUUUUCAAUCUGUGUAAGAUUAAGGAAACUUAAUGCAAGAAGGAUAUUUCCAAGGAGUUGAUCUCCUUUGGAAUACUCUGUAAUGAUUGUUGCCAAGUCUUUGUGACUUUGUGCAUAAUCGUUACAAGAGGAUCAAUGCAUAUAAGUUUAGAAUCUAACAGAUUUCUGUAAAUGGCAUGAAUUUGGAAUUCUUGCAUUUGCAGUAAGGAUUUGGGAGUGUGAAAAGAGAAUCAUUGAAGUUAUGUUCAAUUGAUCUAGUUCACAAAGUAAAGAUCAUAGACAAACAUAGUAUGCAUACUUGGUGUGUGGCAUGACUAGUGUUUAAGAAAACAUAGUGUACAUGCUUGGAGCAUGGGACAACUAUUGUUUUAAAUUCAAGAAUAAAGUUGAUAGCUGAAACAGUAUACAAUGAAUAAUGUGUAAUCAUAUGGUGAUAAAUAAAAGGUGUUUUAUUUAUGUUCAAAGGGUUGAUACCAUAUUGGAUUCAAUUAUUAUUGUGUUUCAUUUUGCAUGUUUUGACUUCCCGAAUAAACUGGGUUAUUCUUCCGGAAUGACUAAGUUAUUCAAACCAUCCACAGUCGGUCAUAUGUUGGAAGUAGAUAUGAAUUAAGACUGUCAUGGGUUGGCUUGUAGAGGUCUAAGGUGUUGGACAAAGGGCUACAACACUCAUGAGUGCUCAUAAGUUCUGAGUAUUGGAUUCAACCCGCGCUCAUUGGAAUCACUUCAUGGAUUUUAUCACGAGUGAUCAUGAGACGAUAAUAUCUUAUAUUCUUCAAACCUAGAGAUAUGAGUUGUUACUAUGAGUUGAUAGUACAUUGAUUGCACGAAAACGCAUUUGGUAACUCGGUGCUAUAAAACGUGCCUUUGUGUAUGAUUCAACAAGUAGUAGAACAAGCCAUAUGAGUCGAAGUUUAUCCAUUCCUUUUACCUUCGGGAUAAAAGCGAUAUCUGUGGGCCCCUCGAUGAUUUGAUGAUGACAAAUGGAAGUGCUCGGCCGGGCCAGGACUGAUUUGAUUUGUUCAAUUAGUCAGUCGUCAUAAAUCGGAAAUCGGGAAACAACAAAUGGACAGAGAGAAUGAUUAUAAUCCAUGUCUCAGUCCAUAUGAUAUCUAGAAUGGAGGAAUAUAUGAUCCCUUAUCUAAUGGACAAGUCAUUGACAAAGGUCAGAGUUCAUCUACAAGGUCAGAGUUCGACAGAAGCUUUUGAGAGCUACGAUUGCCAGUUGGUUCCUGAAGUCAUACGCAAUAAUAGUUUUAGACUUAUCCAAGUGGGAGACUGUUGGAUUAAUGUCUAAGUCCAUAACUAUAAUUGGUAAGACUUGACCCGACCCGGCAUGGUCCAUUUGGGUUGCAUACCAUCAUGCACUUGGAUAGACUAUAAUGAGAGAAAUAAGACACUUAUGGUUAUUAAUAUAUUAUAAGUUCUAGUAUAUUAAUAAUAAGAAUAAUAAGAUUAUUUAAUUAGUAUUGAUCAAGAAUUAAUCUAGGAUUAAUUAAGUGAUCAAAAGAAGACUAAUUAAAUAUAUGGGUUGAUUGUGUAAAUCAUCCAUACUUGUAUAGUGGGCUAAUGCUCCAUGGAUAAUCAAGUUGGGCUAAAACCCAUAGGAUGGUCCAUGGAUGCUCCAUGGUGUAUUUGUACCCAUGGAUCCAAGGAAAUGGAAAGCCAUGACAAUUAAGAGUUUACCCUAAUUGUGUAACUAUAUAAGCAUCUUAUUAUUGAGGAAAAAUCGGCCACUAGUAGUAUUCAAGAAAGGGCUAGCCGAUUUUGGUGAGUGUAGAAUUCUCUCAAGUCAUUCUAAGUGUUUUGAUGAUUGUGAUUCCAUUUGAGGUGUCACACUUGGGGCACUAAGCACUCAAGCUUCAUGAAGACUUUCUACAUCAAGAGGUAUGUAUUCUAUCUUGUUACAUUAUUGUUUUGUAUGCUAGAUUAGGAUAAUACCUUGGAAGUUCUUAUUUGCAUGUAUAAUAGAGAAAACAUAGAUCCAAGGUAUUUAGGGUUGCAUGUACACUUAGGAGUGUUAGAAUGCUCAAAACCCAACAGUGGUAUCAGAGCCUAGGCUUGUUUUCUUGUUAUACCUGCAAUAGAAGCUGAAAAAACGAAUCUGGUGCUGUCUGGCCAUCAGACUCGGCGAGUCCAUCAGGAGACUCGACGAGUCCAUGCCUAAAAAGUGAUGAAUUCGAUCCAACUCGCCGAGUUUGUUCAUGCACUCGACGAGUUGGACCCCCAGACAGCAUAUUUUCGAGUUUUUUGGCUAGAAAUGGACUAGGAACAUUACCCUAAGUUGUUUUUGAACUUAUAAACUUGUUUUUGAUGUGGUAAUGUUCAUGCUAAUCCAUUUUCAAAGAUAAUUGUCAAUAGAUUCAUGUUUUGUAUUAGUUUAAGGUUUAGACUAAUUACAUGAAAAAGUUUGAUUUGAAUUAUCUUGUUCUUAUGAGUUGCUUAGAUUAAUAGAAAUGUUGAGUGAAAUAGUUGUUUUCAAUCCAUUUUAAUCUAAGAGUUGAGUAUAAAAUGUGUUUGUGUAACUUGUCCUCAAGUUACAUGAAGAGUCACAUUAAAGACUCAUAAAACUCAUAAGAGUUGGCAAUGGUUACAAAAUGAAGAGUCUUGUGUCAUUGAAUAAUUUUUUUUGACUCCAUAACUUGUCCUCAAGUUAUGGAAGUUCAAGAGUCACUUCAUUAAAGAAAAAUAUGUAACCAUAAUUAAAUCCAUAAGUUAUAAAAUAAAGAAAAAGUUAGUUCUUUUAUUAGUUUAAAGUCUUCCAUAACUUGUCCUCAAGUUAUGGAACUUGAAGAGUUUUUGGAUUAAAACUACUUUAAACACAUAAGUUAUGGAAUUAAUUAGUUUUGAAUAGUUUCAAAACUUGCCCUCAAGUUUUGGAAUUUGAAAAGUUUUCAAGUAUGAAUACUUUAAUUCCAAGUUAGCCCUUAGAAUUUUAAAAGUUAAAAUUCAACCCUUAUACUUUAUAAUAUUAUAAGUUAAUAAUAUAUAUAUGUAUAAGAGUAAAGUCAGUCUUACCGCUAGUACGCCUCAUUCACGAAGCCGGUCUAUAAGGUGGGUAUAAGGUUGUUGCCUAUAAAAUGGCAACUUAAUGGGUGUCCACUCUCACCCACCGCUUGCUUGACUGGUGGAGGGUCGUUAGCCGAACGGGUUUGACAGGACUAGAAUUCUCCCUUCAUUAAAAGUAUUAAUGAUAAUACUAAGUAACUAAACUCUUAAUAAUACCCAAUCUUAGUUACUUAGGAAAAAUGUGAAUAAGGUGCUAAUCCAUGAAAUUACACUUUACACUUUGUCUAAGUCGUUAGUGGAGCGUGUGUGGUUAACCGGCACACUAACUUGGACUUAACAAGGUAGGUAAAGGGUGACUUAAUAUUUAUCAUAGUAUCGAUGGAGCGUGUGUGGUUAACCGGCACAUCGAUUGAGGGGUAAUUUAUUAAGGGUACCAAGUGAUUUGCAUGGUUACUUCACACCUUGUUUUGUGAUCCUCGGCAUCCCAGUCACAAAACCUGAAGGGCACACUCGAGAUUGAAACAUGCCUUUGAAAAGUUCAAUGAAUCUCAAAGAUCUAGGAGUUUCAAAACCAAUUAAAACCUAAUAAUACAUUUCGUUUAUCUUGGUGGAAAUUGGUGAAUCGUCAUUCACCUACCUUCAAAUAUUUUAUAGCUUGGAUUACGGCAUACCUCUUCUAAGUUAUAAAAUAGUUUGUUGGGUCCUAGCCUUAAUAUUUCAUAUUGGGUGUCAUAUUAAGGACUUUAAAUCAACUAUCUUGAAUAUCUCCCAAAAGAUGUCUGGUUUAGACACCUAUGAUCUUCCCAAAUCUCUUGAAACAAGGUUUCCUAAUGAAGAUGAUGUCCCAUGGAUAUCAUACUUCUUCACCUCUUCAAAUUAUUCUCCCUAACCCACAAGUUCUUGAAAAGUUUAAGGUCACUCAGGCCCUAUUGGCAAGGCAAGGUCUAGGUGUGGUCACAUCUUGGAGAUGUAGUCACAUAUUGACAAGCCGGGAGAGUUGGGUGUCAAAGUCUUGAGAAAGUUGGUGGUUCAACCACUUUCUAAGUCACAUAGUGAGUUCCUUUGGGACACCUAUGAAACAGACUAUGACAAGACCCUUAAUGAUCUUAUCUAUUUGCUAAGAUCAACUUCCUAAAACUUUAUGGACAUUGACAAUGAUGACAUUGGAUAUCCAGUAAAGCAUUCUCUUCCCAAUGGAAAGGGAUCGGCCAUAGUCAACUCGGUUGACCAAAUGGUAAAGAGAAAAGCUAAGUCUGUGAUAGUCCCGUGUACCAUUAUCAAAGGGUCCAUAUGUUUAUAUUGCCAAAGGAAGGGGCAUUGGUUGCGAAGCUGCCAAAUUUACCUAAGGAUGUUAAAGUCAAUAAGUUUGACUCUACUUCAGGUAAAGUCCACUAUCUAACUCUGUUAAGUUUCUAUUCUGAGAUUCUUGAUACAUGAUGUGACUGGGUCACAUGGUGAUGUUUUAAGAAUCAAAGAAAAGUGAAGAAACUUAAAGAAAGAAUAUGCUGAAUCUGAUGGCGUAGAUGGAUUUCUAUCGCAUAGUUUGAAGAUCGGAUUCUUGAGCUACUUCUUAGGAGUUAUGAGAUAUUGCUUAGGAAUAGAUAACAACAAGUUUUCAUAUGGAUUGUAAGGAUAAGUUUUUCCGCAAAGUUUUAAAAUAAAAGAAAAUUUUUUUGAUUUUAUUUAUUUUAAAAUAUCCUUACAAUGGCAUUUGAGGAAAAAUUGUUGCUUAUAUGAUUCCAUUAAGAGCAAGAGUGGAAAUAUGAAAUUGAUUCUUUCAUUUGUGGUAAUGUCUAAAUUUACCAAAUAAGGAAAGAUUCUCAUCACCCAAGUUUCAAUUGGACCGGAACUUGGAAUCAUGCAAGUUGUAUAGCAUGAUGAAUGAGAACUUUCAAGUUUUGGAAAAUUAAGACUAAUUACUUGUUCACAUGGAUGUGUGAGUCAAGUAAAGGACUUAGGGAUCGAGUACACAUUCUUGUGCACUGAUUAAGUCCACCACUAAAGAUCGAUAAGAAGAAUCAAAUAAGGCAGAAGGAUAAAAGUUUCUCAAAUCUGAAAAGAUGGGAGAGUACUUUAGUAUCAGUUUUGUGAUCAUCUUAAUGAUUAAGAAACCAUAUCAAAAUUAGUUCUCUAAGGAAAUCUUAGUGCAUUCUUAUGACUAAGAAGAGGAACUUGAAUUGUUGAAAUGGUUAAAUCAAGAAGAUGAGUCAUACUUCGUUCCAAUACAAGUCUUAGAGUCAUACUCCAAGAUUGUCAUUUGAGUGACAUGUCUUAAAGAAGGUUUAAAACACUUGUCAAAUGUAAGAGUAAAAGUUUUCUACUCUUGUACAUUUGAAAUUGGUAAGUUGUGAUGUUUUGGAUAAAACAAAGACCAACUUAGGCCAAUUGGGUAAAGUGUUUUUCUUGAUUAGAAUCCGCACUAUCUCUUGGAUGUUUGACAAGGGAGUCUUAUAUGUCAAGAGGACAGUGGGAGUCUUAAAGGUCUUGAAAGUCUCAAGAAAUAAUCAAGAAUAAAACCUAAAGUUCUUCACUAGCACACGACUUGAGGUUUAUAACCUAUCGUGUUGACAUAUCUGUGCCCAUUCCAGUUAAAGUUGGCUUUGCAUAUGAGUUCUUAGAGUUCUCAGUUUGUUGCAUAACAACUUGGAAGCAAUGGCAGGCCCUUGAGCUGCCAGGUGGCAAGAAGUUAAGAUUGAGUUCAAUCCAUAUGGUUUUGGAUUUGUCAUUAUCUUUGUCUUGUGAUUAUGGUUUGACAAAUUCAUAUGGGUAGGAACUCAUACACCAUAUAAAUCUAAGUGUCAUAAGGUUUCUCUCCGAUUCAUGAAAAUGAUGGUGAGGAAACGCUUUCACUAAGUAGAUUUUACGAAGAUAUCAAUUGUGUUAUUUGCAUUUUCAAAAGUCGUUAGUGGAGCGCGUGUGGUUAACCGGCACACUAACAUGGACUUGUGAGAAAUGGCAAAUGCCUAAGCAAUUGAGACCAUGAUUACGGUAUCCCUUUUCAUGGUUCUUGAAAUUGCUUAGACACACAGGUGAGCUAUCUACGGAAAGGGUGUAUGAAUCUAAAUUUCAGACUGUCCAGCUGAUUUCUGAGUACAUGUCAAAGCUAGUGGGAGCAUAAGUGUUAUGCUAAUAAUCAUCAUGUUAGUGGGAGCAUGAUAAUUAUGAUAAGUAUUGCAAGUUAGCAAUGUUAAUUAUAGAAAACAAAAGUUUCAAUUGGGAAAAAGUUGUUUUGCUAUAAUUAAGGGAGAGGAAAUUAUGCUUCAUCUCAAAUCUAUAAGCUUAGAUCGUGAGGUUUUAAUCAUUUAGUCAAGGAUAUAUAUGAAUUUCAUGUUGGAAUGGCUCAACAU
rnacentral:lncRNA from 1 species